rnacentral:rRNA from 1 species
GACGAACGCUGGCGGCGUGCUUAAUACAUGCCAGUCGAACGGAAAGGGCCUGCCUUUGUGGGGUGCGCGAGUGGCGAACGGGUGUGUAACACGUGAGUAACCUGCCCUUGAGUUUGGGAUAACUUCAGGAAACUCGGGCUAAUACCGGAUAGGAGCACCUGCUGCAUGGUGGGGGUUGGAAAGAUUCGGGGGUUUGGGAUGGACUCGCGGCUUAUCAGUGUGUUGGUGGGGUUGUGGCUUAACAAGGCUUUGACGGGUUGCCAGCCUGAGAGGGUGACCGGCCACAUUGUGACUCGUAUGGCACCCAGAGUCCUUCUGGAGCAAGCGGAGGGGGACAUUGCGAAAUGGGCGGCGGCCAGAAGCAGCAACGCCGCGUGGGAGAAGUCUGCCUUUGGGUUAUAAACCGCUUUCGCCUGUAAAGAUGCGUAAGUGACGGUAAUGGGUCAAGAAGCACCGGCUAACUACGUG